rnacentral:rRNA from 1 species
UACGAAGGGGGCUAGCGUUGCUCGGAAUCACUGGGCGUAAAGGGUGCGUAGGCGGGUCUUAAGUCAGAGGUGAAAUCCUGGAGCUCAACUCCAGAACUGCCUUUGAUACUGAGGAUCUUGAGUUCGGGAGAGGUGAGUGGAACUGCGAGUGUAGAGGUGAAAUUCGUAGAUAUUCGCAAGAACACCAGUGGCGAAGGCGGCUCACUGGCCCGAUACUGACGCUGAGGCACGAAAGCGUGGGGAGCAAACAGGG